GCAGGUAGAGCUCAGUGGCAGAUCAUGUGCUUAGCAGGCAGGAGGUCCUGGGUUCAAUUCCCAGUAUCUCCA
rnacentral:tRNA from 1 species